rnacentral:rRNA from 1 species
GAGUUUGAUCCUGGCUCAGGAUGAACGCUAGCGGCAGGCCUAAUACAUGCAAGUCGAGGGGUAACAGGAAGUGCUUGCACUUUGCUGACGACCGGCGCACGGGUGAGUACCGCGUAUACAAUCUGCCUCAUACUAGGGGAUAGCCCGAAGAAAUUUGGAUUAAUACCCUAUAGUAUCUUUUUAAGGCAUCUUAAAAAGAUUAAAGGUUACGGUAUGAGAUGAAUAUGCGUUCUAUUAGCUAGUAGGUGUGGUAACGGCACACCUAGGCUACGAUAGAUAGGGGCCCUGAGAGGGGGAUCCCCCACACUGGUACUGAGACACGGACCAGACUCCUACGGGAGGCAGCAGUAAGGAAUAUUGGACAAUGGGCGAAAGCCUGAUCCAGCCAUGCCGCGUGCAGGAUGACGGCCCUAUGGGUUGUAAACUGCUUUUAUAUAGGAAGAAAAACUUUCUCGUGAGAAAGCUUGACGGUACUAUAAGAAUAAGGAUCGGCUAACUCCGUGCCAGCAGCCGCGGUAAUACGGAGGAUCCAAGCGUUAUCCGGAAUCAUUGGGUUUAAAGGGUCCGUAGGUGGACAAAUAAGUCAGAGGUGAAAUCCUGCAGCUCAACUGUAGAACUGCCUUUGAUACUGUUUGUCUUGAGUUAUUAUGAAGUGGUUAGAAUGUGUAGUGUAGCGGUGAAAUGCAUAGAUAUUACACAGAAUACCGAUUGCGAAGGCAGAUCACUAAUAAUUAACUGACACUGAGGGACGAAAGCGUGGGUAGCGAACAGGAUUAGAUACCCUGGUAGUCCACGCCGUAAACGAUGGUCACUAGCUGUUUGGACUUCGGUCUGAGUGGCUAAGCGAAAGUGAUAAGUGACCCACCUGGGGAGUACGUUCGCAAGAAUGAAACUCAAAGGAAUUGACGGGGGCCCGCACAAGCGGUGGAGCAUGUGGUUUAAUUCGAUGAUACGCGAGGAACCUACCUAGGCUUAAAUGUAGAUUGACGUAUUGGGAAACCAAUAUUUCUUCGGACAAUUUACAAGGUGCUGCAUGGUUGUCGUCAGCUCGUGCUGUGAAGUGUCGGGUUAAGUCCCAUAACGAGCGCAACCCCUAUCAUUAGUUGCUAACAUUUAGUUGAGGACUCUAAUGAAACUGCCCGCGUAAGCGUGGAGGAAGGUGGGGAUGACGUCAAAUCAUCACGGCCCUUACGUCUAGGGCUACACACGUGCUACAACGGUGAAUACAGAGGGAUGCCAACUGGUAACAGUGAGCAAAUCCAAAAAAUUCAUCUCAGUUCGGAUUGAGGUCUGCAACUCGACCUCAUGAAGCUGGAAUCGCUAGUAAUCGUAUAUCAGCCAUGAUACGGUGAAUACGUUCCCGGGCCUUGUACACACCGCCCGUCAGGCCAUGGAAGUUGGGGAUACCUGAAGUCGGUAACCGAAAGGAGCUGCCUAAGGUAAAAUCAGUAACUGGGGCUAAGUCGUAACAAGGUAACC